UACGAGGGGGGCAAGCGUUAAUCGGAAUUACUGGGCGUAAAGCGUGCGCAGGCGGUUUUGUAAGACUGUCGUGAAAUCCCCGGGCUCAACCUGGGAAUGGCGAUGGUGACUGCAAGGCUAGAGUUUGGCAGAGGGGGGUAGAAUUCCACGUGUAGCAGUGAAAUGCGUAGAUAUGUGGAGGAACACCGAUGGCGAAGGCAGCCCCCUGGGUCAACACUGACACUGAGGCACGAAAGCGUGGGGAGCAAACAGG
rnacentral:rRNA from 1 species